rnacentral:rRNA from 1 species
UACGUAGGGUGCGAGCGUUAAUCGGAAUUACUGGGCGUAAAGCGUGCGCAGGCGGUUUUGUAAGCCAGAUGUGAAAUCCCCGGGCUUAACCUGGGAAUGGCAUUUGGGACUGCAAGGCUCGAGUGCGGCAGAGGAGACUGGAAUUCCUGGUGUAGCAGUGAAAUGCGUAGAUAUCAGGAGGAACACCGAUGGCGAAGGCAGCCUUCUGGGCCAACACUGACGCUCAUGCACGAAAGCGUGGGGAGCAAACAGG